AGCUGGUAAACGGGAACCAAAUCGUGGCCUUGUGUGGAUUUGGUCCCCUUCAACCAGCCGU
rnacentral:pre_miRNA from 1 species